AUUAUAUGUAAACCGAAAAAAGUGCGAGUUUAGGUGUGCUACUUUAGAGUAUUUGGGGCAUGUAAUCAGUGCCAGGGGGGUAACAGCGGAUUCAAAAAAAAAUAGAUGCGAUGCAAUCUUGGCCUGUCCCUCAAAACAUCAAGGAGUUAUGAGGCUUCUUGGGAUUGACUGGGUAUUACCGAAGGUUCGUAGAAGAUUAUGGAAAGAUGGCUGAACCAUUGACCAGAUAAUUGAAGAACGAGAGCUUCAACUGGGAUCACGAGGCUGAAUUGGCAUUUUAUGCAUUGAGGGAGGCCAUGACCAAAGUUCCGAUGUUAGCAUUGCCGGACUUCACCUUGCCAUUUGUGGCAGAAACUGAUGCAUUUGGAGUGGGCUUAGGGGCUGUACUAUCCCAGCAACAAAGGCCCAUAUCUUACUUUAGUCAAGCCUUAUUUUCCAGGGCGAGGCUCAAGUCGAUUUAUGAAAGGUAACUUAUGGCUAUAGUUCUAUCUUCUCAGAAAUGGAGACACUAUUUACUUGGGAGACAGUUUAUAGUUCGCACGGAUCAAAUAAGUUUGAAGUUUUUGCUGAAAUGGCUGGUGUGUGUGGAACAUCAAAAGUGGGUUACUAAGUUACUCGGCUAUGACUUUGAGAUUCAAUAUAGACCGAGCCUUGAGAACGAGGGCACGAAUGCCAUGUGUCACCUUCAGUGGCAUUGAAGUUAGCAGUUAUGUCUGUAUCAAAGGUAAUGGACUUGGGGGAGUUGCGAGCACAGAUAGAGAAGGAUGAGAAGUUAGCCGGCACCAGGGAGGCCUUACUCAAGGACCCCUUGUCCAUUGAUAGCUGGUUGCCUGAUGUAUAAACAACGGCUAGUGAUACCCAAGGGAUCCAAUUUGAUUCCCAGAUUACUUCAAGAAUUUCAUAGCAGUGCCAUUGGCAGCCAUUCAGGAGUUUGAAGAUUUAUAGAAGGGUAGCCAGAGAGUUGUUUUGGGUGGGGAUGAAAAAAGAUAUUCAGGCGUUUGUGGGAAUGUGUUCCGUUUGUCAACAAAACAAGUACUUAGCACUUUCUCCUGCCGGUUUACUUCAACCGUUGCCAAUUUCGGAAGCAAUAUGGGAGGAUUUAACAUUGUAUUUUAUUGAAGGGCUACCCAAGUCUAAAGGGUGGGAUACCAUCCUAGUGGUUGCGGAUCGACUAAGCAAGUAUGCUCAUUUUAUGACCUUGAUAGAACCCGUUUUCGGCUAAGACAGUGGCUGAGUUGUUUAUACAGGGAGUGGUAAGACUUCAUGGAUUUCCUAGAUCCUUGGUAUCGGAUAUGGACAAAGUUUUCCUUAGCUUGUUUUGGAACGAGCUCUUUCGGCUACAGGUAAUGCAACUCCG
rnacentral:lncRNA from 1 species